rnacentral:rRNA from 1 species
UACGUAGGGUGCAAGCGUUGUCCGGAAUUAUUGGGCGUAAAGAGCUCGUAGGCGGCUUGUCGCGUCGGCUGUGAAAACCUGGGGCUCAACCCCGGGCCUGCAGCCGAUACGGGCAAGCUAGAGUUCGGUAGGGGAGACGUGGAAUUCCUGGUGUAGCGGUGAAAUGCGCAGAUAUCAGGAGGAACACCGAUGGCGAAGGCAGGUCUCUGGGCAUUAACUGACGCUGAGGAGCGAAAGCAUGGGGAGCGAACAGG